UACGUAGGGGGCUAGCGUUGUCCGGAAUCAUUGGGCGUAAAGCGCGUGUAGGCGGCCCGGUAAGUCCGCUGUGAAAGUCGGGGGCUCAACCCUCGAAAGCCGGUGGAUACUGUCGGGCUAGAGUACGGAAGAGGCGAGUGGAAUUCCUGGUGUAGCGGUGAAAUGCGCAGAUAUCAGGAGGAACACCAAUUGCGAAGGCAGCUCGCUGGGACGUUACUGACGCUGAGACGCGAAAGCGUGGGGAGCAAACAGG
rnacentral:rRNA from 1 species